rnacentral:tRNA from 1 species
UUUUCUUUAGCUUAAUUUAAAGCGUUAGUUUGAAGCACUGAAGUUAACUUUUGUUAGGAGGCA